rnacentral:rRNA from 1 species
UAGUCCAUGCCGUAAACGAUGAUUACUCGAUAUUGGCAUUUAUGUCAGUGUCCAAGCGAAAGUAUUAAGUAAUCCACCUGGGGAGUACGAUCGCAAGGUCGAAACUCAAAGGAAUUGACGGGGGCCCGCACAAGCGGUGGAGCAUGUGGUUUAAUUCGAUGAUACGCGAGGAACCUUACCAAGGCUUAAAUGUAGAACGACAGGUCUGGAAACAGAUUUUUCUUCGGACGAUCUACAAGGUGCUGCAUGGUUGUCGUCAGCUCGUGCCGUGAGGUGUCGGGUUAAGUCCCAUAACGAGCGCAACCCCUAUCCUUCAGUUGCUAGCAGGUAAUGCUGAGGACUCUGAGGAAACUGCCCGCGCAAGCGGUGAGGAAGGUGGGGAUGACGUCAAAUCAUCACGGCCCUUACGUCUUGGGCUACACACGUGCUACAAUGGCAGGUACAAAGGGCAGCUACAUGGCAACAUGAUGCUAAUCUCUAAAACCUGUCUCAGUUUGG